rnacentral:rRNA from 1 species
GACGAACGCUGGCGGCGUGCUUAACACAUGCAAGUCGAACGGUGAAGCGCCUUCCUUUUUGGUGGGUGUGGAUGAGUGGCGAACGGGUGAGUAACACGUGAGUAACCUGCCCCCUUCUUCUGGAUAACCGCAUGAAAGUGUGGCUAAUACGGGAUAUUCUGGGUCUGUCGCAUGAUGGGUCUGGGAAAGAUAUUGUUUCGGUGGGGGAUGGGCUCGCGGCCUAUCAGCUUGUUGGUGGGGUGAUGGCCUACCAAGGCGGUGACGGGUAGCCGGCCUGGGAGGGUGGACGGCCACACUGGGACUGAGACACGGCGCAGCCUACGACGGGAGGCAGCAGUGGGGAAUAUUGCACAAUGGGCGGAAGCCUGAUGCAGCGACGCCGCGGGAGGGAUGGAGGCCGUCGGGUUGUGAACCUCUUUCGCCAGUGAAGCAGGCCUGCCUCGUUUGUGGGUGGGUUGACGGUAGCUGGAGAAGAAGCGCCGGCUAACUACGUG